rnacentral:rRNA from 1 species
GACGAACGCUGGCGGCGUGCUUAACACAUGCAAGUCGAACGCUGAAGCUCAGCUUUUGUUGGGUGGAUGAGUGGCGAACGGGUGAGUAACACGUGAGUAACCUGCCCCCUUCUUUGGGAUAACGCCCGGAAACGGGUGCUAAUACUGGAUAUUCACUGGUCUUCGCAUGGGGGUUGGUGGAAGGGGUUUUUCUGGUGGGGGAUGGGCUCGCGGCCUAUCAGCUUGUUGGUGGGGUGAUGGCCUACCAAGGCUUUGACGGGUAGCCGGCCUGAGAGGGUGACCGGUCACAUUGGGACUGAGAUACGGCCCAGACUCCUACGGGAGGCAGCAGUGGGGAAUAUUGCACAAUGGGCGCAAGCCUGAUGCAGCGACGCCGCGUGAGGGAUGGAGGCCUUCGGGUUGUGAACCUCUUUCGCUCAUGGUCAAGCCGCAACAAUGGUUGUGGUGAGGGUAGUGGGUAAAGAAGCGCCGGCUAACUACGUGCCAGCAGCCGCGGUAAUACGUAGGGCGCGAGCGUUGUCCGGAAUUAUUGGGCGUAAAGGGCUUGUAGGCGGUUGGUCGCGUCUGCCGUGAAAUCCUCUGGCUUAACUGGGGGCGUGCGGUGGGUACGGGCUGACUUGAGUGCGGUAGGGGAGACUGGAACUCCUGGUGUAGCGGUGGAAUGCGCAGAUAUCAGGAAGAACACCGGUGGCGAAGGCGGGUCUCUGGGCCGUUACUGACGCUGAGGAGCGAAAGCGUGGGGAGCGAACAGG